rnacentral:rRNA from 1 species
GUGGAUUAGAUACCCUGGUAGUCCACACCGUAAACGAUGAUUACUAGGUGUAGGGCGGCUGAAACCGUUCUGUGCCGGAGUUAACACAAUAAGUAAUCCACCUGGGGAGUACGACCGCAAGGUUGAAACUCAAAGGAAUUGACGGGGGCCCGCACAAGCAGUGGAGUAUGUGGUUUAAUUCGACGCAACGCGAAAAACCUUACCAGGUCUUGACAUCGAUUGACGAGCGUAGAGAUACGCUUUUCCCUUCGGGGACAAGAAGACAGGUGGUGCAUGGUUGUCGUCAGCU